UGGGGAAUAUUGCACAAUGGGGGAAACCCUGAUGCAGCGACGCCGCGUGAGUGAAGAAGUAUUUCGGUAUGUAAAGCUCUAUCAGCAGGGAAGAAAAUGACGGUACCUGACUAAGAAGCCCCGGCUAACUACGUG
rnacentral:rRNA from 1 species